UACGGGGGGGGCAAGCGUUGUUCGGAAUUACUGGGCGUAAAGGGCUCGUAGGUGGCCAACUAAGUCAGACGUGAAAUCCCUCGGCUUAACCGGGGAACUGCGUCUGAUACUGGAUGGCUUGAGUUCGGGAGAGGGAUGCGGAAUUCCAGGUGUAGCGGUGAAAUGCGUAGAUAUCUGGAGGAAUACCGGUGGCGAAGGCGGCAUCCUGGACCGGCAUUGACGCCUGAUGAGCGAAAGCUAGGGGAGCAAACGGG
rnacentral:rRNA from 1 species